rnacentral:rRNA from 1 species
AUUGAACGCUGGCGGCAGGCCUAACACAUGCAAGUCGAACGAGUGGCGGACGGGUGAGUAAUAUCUGGGAAACUGCCCGAGGGAGGGGGAUAACUACUGGCAACGGUAGCUAAUACCGCAUAACCACGGAGGUGCCCAGAUGGGAUUAGCUAGUAGGUGGGGUAAUGGCUCACCUAGGCGAAGAUCCCUAGCUGGGCUUAGAGGAUGAUCAGCCACACUGGAACUGAGACACGGUCCAGACUCCUACGGGAGGCAGCAGUGGGGAAGAUUGCACAAUGGGCGCAAGCCGGAUGCAGCCAUGCCGCGUGUAUGAAGAAGGCCUUCGGGUUGUAGAGUACUUUCAGCGGGGAGGCGUUACCCGCAGAAGAAGCACCGGCUAACUCCGUGCCAGCCGCCGCGGUAAUAC